rnacentral:rRNA from 1 species
GACGAACGCUGGCGGCGUGCUUAACACAUGCAAGUCGAGCGGAGACAUAUAGCGGAAAGCUUCGGCCGGAAGGUAUAUGUUUUAGCGGCGGACGGGUGAGUAACGCGUGAGCAACCUGUCCUUCACAGGGGGAUAAGAUACCGAAAGGUGUUCUAAUACCGCAUGAGACCACGUGACCGCAUGGUCAAGGGGUCAAAGGAGAAAUCCGGUGAAGGGUGGGCUCGCGUCCGAUUAGAUAGUUGGUGAGGUAACGGCCCACCAAGUCAACGAUCGGUAGCCGACCUGAGAGGGUGAUCGGCCACAUUGGGACUGAGACACGGCCCAGACUCCUACGGGAGGCAGCAGUGGGGAAUAUUGGGCAAUGGGGGGAACCCUGACCCAGCAACGCCGCGUGGAAGAAGAAGGUCCUAUGGGUUGUAAACUCCUUUUGCGCCAGAGUAAUAAGUACCUUGCGAGGCACGAUGAGAGUAUGGCGUGAAUAAGCAUCGGCUAACUCCGUGCCAGCAGCCGCGGUAAUACGGAGGAUGCAAGCGUUAUCCGGAUUUAUUGGGUUUAAAGGGUGCGCAGGCGGACAGUUAAGUCAGCGGUGAAAUCUCACGGCUCAACCGUGGAACUGCCGUUGAUACUGGCUGUCUAGAGUACGGACGGCGCCGGCGGAAUGUGUCAUGUAGCGGUGAAAUACUUAGAUAUGCCACAGAACACCGAUCGCGAAGGCAGCUGGCGAGGCCGGUACUGACGCUCAGGCACGAAAGCGUGGGGAUCA